rnacentral:rRNA from 1 species
CGCGUAGGCGGCUUUGUAAGUCUGGAGUGAAAGUCCUCUUUCAAGGGAGGAAUUGCUUUGGAAACUAUAGAGCUUGAGUGCAGGAGAGGUUAUCGGAAUUCCCGGUGUAGCGGUGAAAUGCGUAGAUAUCGGGAGGAACAUCGGUGGCGAAGGCGGGUAACUGGACUGCAACUGACGCUGAGGCGCGAAAGUGUGGGGAGCAAACA